rnacentral:sRNA from 1 species
AAAUAAUAAUUUUGUAGUGUUUAAAUGAUAUUAAAUAUUUUGGAAGUUUUAUUUUAGUAACUAAUUGUGUAGUUAAUGUGGAGAGAUUGUGGGAAAGUAGUUAAAUGCAAAUAUUUAAUCCUAAGAUUUACUUUUUAAUUAUGAAAAACAAUUAUUAAAUACCAAUGACAACCAUUGUAAAUAAGUUUCAACUUGAGGAUUUAUUUAACAAAGUGGCUGCAAAAAUGUAUAUGUAGAUGGUAUGGCAUUGAUGUAUUACAACAAAGUUUGUAAGUAGUUUGUGCCACAUCCAUAAACAAAAAGCUCU